rnacentral:rRNA from 1 species
GAACGCUGGCGGCGCGUUUUAAGCAUGCAAGUCGAACGGGAUCCAUGGCUUCGGCUGUGGUGAGAGUGGCGAACGGGUGAGUAACACGUAGGUUAUCUGCCCUUGGGUGGGGGAUAGCCCAUGGAAACAUGGGGUAAUACCGCAUGAAGCCGAAAGGUUAAAGGAGCAAUUGUUCCGCCUGGGGAUGAGCCUGCGGUCCAUUAGUUAGUUGGUGAGGUAAGAGCUCUACCAAGGCGACGAUGGAUAGCCGGCCUGAGAGGGUGAACGGCCACACUGGGACUGAGACACGGCCCAGACUCCUACGGGAGGCAGCAGUGGGGAAUAUUGCGCAAUGGGCGAAAGCCUGACGCAGCGACGCCGCGUGGGGGAGGAAGGCCUUAGGGUUGUAAACCCCUGUCAGACGGGACGAACCGUAUGUCGGCGAAUAUCCGGCAUGCCUGACGGUACCGUCAGAGGAAGCUCCGGCUAACUCCGUGCCAGCAGCCGCGGUAAUACGGAGGGAGCUAGCGUUGUUCGGAAUUACUGGGCGUAAAGGGCGCGUAGGCGGCCGAGUAAGUCGCGUGUGAAAGGCCGGGGCUCAACCCCGAGCACUGCACGUGAUACUGCCCGGCUAGAGAAAGGUAGAGGCGAGCGGAAUUCCCGGUGUAGCGGUGGAAUGCGUAGAUAUCGGGAAGAACACCUGUGGCGAAGGCGGCUCGCUGGGCCUUGUCUGACGCUGAAGCGCGAAAGCGUGGGGAGCAAACAGGAUUAG